CCUACGGGAGGCUGCAGUGAGGAAUCUUUGUCAAUGGGCGCUAGCCUGAUCCAGCCACGUAGCGUGAAGGAUGACUGCCCUAUGGGUUGUAAACUUCUUUUAUAUGGGAAUAAAGUGCAGUAUGUAUACUGCUUUGCAUGUACCUUAUGAAUAAGGUUCGGCUAACUCCGUGCCAGCAGCCGCGGUAAUACGGAGGCUUCGAGCGUUAUCCGGAUUUAUUGGGUGUAAAGGGGGCGUAGGCGGGUUGUUAAGUCAGUUGUGAAAGGUUGCGGCUCAACCGUAAAAUUGCAGUUGAUACUGGCAGACUUGAGUACAGUAGAGGUAGGCGGAAUUCGUGGUGUAGCAGUGAAAUGCGUAGAUAUCGAGAAGAACUCCGAUUGCGAAGGCAGCCUGCUGGACUGUAACUGACGCUGAUGCACGAAAGUGUGGGUAUCAAACAGGAUUAGAUACCCUAGUAGUC
rnacentral:rRNA from 1 species